CCCCCCAUCAACCCCUUUCACCCUACUGAGNNNUUCUAUAACAUUNAUAGAACCUUUAAUGUUAAAACUAGUAACAAGAGAUACCNNCCUCUCUAUGAUGCAAACUCAAACCAGCAAGAACCUUNCACUGGUGAUUAACAGANNNNANACAAANGUAGUAACUUUCUCAAGAAAACUCUACUCCCUCANNNNNNACUGUUAACCUAACACAAGAGCAUCCCAAGAAAGAUUUAAAGAAAAAGAAGGAACUCGGCAAAUAUCAAUCUCGCCUGUUUACCAAAAACAUCGCCUCUUGUCACCNUAUAAGAGGUCCAGCCUGCCCAGUGACUCUUGUUCAACGGCCGCGGUAUCCUAACCGCGCGAAGGUAGCGUAAUCACUUGUCUUUUAAAUAAAGACUAGUAUGAAAGGCACCACGAAGAUUAAACUGUCUCCUCUCUCCAAUCAGUGAACCUAAUCUCCCCGUGAAAAAGCGGGAAUUUUUAUAUAAGACGAGAAGACCCUAUGGAGCUUAAAACAUCAUAACACUGCACNCUCCACAUUAAUAACCCAAAUNANUUNAAACCCUACAGNCACACUGAUUAUAUGUUUUCGGUUGGGGUGACCGCGGAGGAAAACCCAUCCCCCGCGAUGAUGAGGGACCCCCCCCNNNAACAAUAAGUCACAACUUUACGUAUCAACAAACUGACAUUNAUUGACCCAAUAUAUUNGAUUAACGAACCAAGUUACCCUAGGGAUAACAGCGCAAUCCACUUUGAGAGCCCCUAUCGACAAGUGGGCUUACGACCUCGAUGUUGGAUCGGGAUACCCAAGU
rnacentral:rRNA from 1 species